rnacentral:rRNA from 1 species
GACGAACCGUGCGAACGUUAUUCGGAAUCACUGGGCUUAAAGCGCGUGUAGGCGGAUGGGAACGUCGGUAGUUGAAAGCCCCCGGCUCAACCGGGGAAGUGGUGCCGAAACGACCCGUCUGGAGGGACGUAGGGGGACCUGGAACUUCCGGUGGAGCGGUGAAAUGCGUUGAGAUCGAAAAGAACACCAACGGCGAAGGCGGGUUGCUGGGCUGACACUGACGCUGAUGCGCGAAAGCCAGGGGAGCGAACGGG